rnacentral:rRNA from 1 species
UGGCGGAGGGUGAGUAAUGUCUGGGAAACUGCCCGAUGGAGGGGGAUAACUACUGGAAACGGUAGCUAAUACCGCAUAACGUCGCAAGACCAAAGAGGGGGACCUUCGGGCCUCUUGCCAUCGGAUGUGCCCAGAUGGGAUUAGCUAGUAGGUGGGGUAACGGCUCACCUAGGCGACGAUCCCUAGCUGGUCUGAGAGGAUGACCAGCCACACUGGAACUGAGACACGGUCCAG